AGAGAUUUAUUCAGGAAAGCAAGGAAUCCAUAUUCAGGAAGAAUGCGGCUAUCAAGGGAGUGAGAUGCACCUUUUGGGAGCUCAGGCUCUUAGAAAAAAAUCUGGCUUGGGAAGUGACAGCCCUUGGAGAAAAACUGACCAGAGAGCGAAGACAUCUGUGAUGCUCUGCUGGCCUCUGCCUUGCCCCAGGUGUCCUUCAGCAGCUCUUCAGAGCUGUCCAGUAGCCAUGGCUUUGGCUUUGCAAGUCUAAAUCAGAGAGAUGGUGAGUCAGCUGUUGUUUCUGCUCCUUCCUCAGAGAGAGCUUGCAUCU
rnacentral:lncRNA from 1 species